rnacentral:rRNA from 1 species
ACUCAAAGGAAUUGACGGGGGCCCGCACAAGCGGUGGAGCAUGUGGUUUAAUUCGAUGCAACGCGAAGAACCUUACCUAGAUUUGACAUUUGGAGACAAUCCUAGAAGUAGGACUUUCCCUUCGGGGACUCCAGGACAGGUGCUGCAUGGCUGUCGUCAGCUCGUAUCGUGAGAUGUCGGGUUAAGUCCCUUAACGAGCGCAACCCUUAUCCUUAGUUGCCACCAUUUAGUUGGGCACUCUAGGGAGACCGCCGGCGUUAAGCCGGAGGAAGGCGGGGAUGACGUCAAGUCCUCAUGGCCUUUAUAUCUAGGGCUACACACGUGCUACAAUGGCCGGUACAAAAGGUUGCCAACCCGCGAGGGGGAGCUAAUCUUAGAAAGCCGGUCUCAGUUCGGAUUGAAGUCUGCAACUCGACUUCAUGAAGCUGGAAUCGCUAGUAAUCGCGGAUCAGCACGCCGCGGUGAAUACGUUCCCGGGCCUUGCACACACCGCCCGU